UUUGAAUUUCAAACAUCAGUCGCGCGACGGAUUUGACAUACUCUAGAUCCGCCCCUGACGUCGUCCUACAUCGAGUGUGGAAUUUUUCACAAAAAAAGUUUUAAACAAGGCAAGAAAAUGGCAGAACAGUUUUCAUCAGCAUCAAAUGAUUGCUCAUCAAGCACACCACUAAAUUCAUCGUGAUUUAAAUUAAUUGUUUAGCUAAAUUAACAUCCAGUGGCUUUGAAAUUUGUCUUACUUUGUAAUAACGGUUUGUGUUCCCUUUUAUGUUUGCAUAAAAAUACUAUACAACGGCUACUGAUAUAUCAA